rnacentral:rRNA from 1 species
GACGAACGCUGGCGGCGUGCUUAACACAUGCAAGUCGUACGGUAAGGCCCUUUCGGGGGUCCACGAGUGGCGAACGGGUGAGUAACACGUGAGUAACCUGCCCACAACUUUGGGAUAACGCUAGGAAACUGGUGCUAAUACUGGAUAUGUGCUCCUGCUGCAUGGUGGGGGUUGGAAAGCUCCGGCGGUUGUGGAUGGACUCGCGGCCUAUCAGCUUGUUGGUGGGGUAGUGGCCUACCAAGGCGGCGACGGGUAGCCGGCCUGAGAGGGUGACCGGCCACAUUGGGACUGAGAUACGGCCCAGACUCCUACGGGAGGCAGCAGUGGGGAAGAUUGCACAAUGGGCGCAAGCCGGAUGCAGCAACGCCGCGUGCGGGAGGACGGCCUUCGGGUUGUAAACCGCUUUCAGCAGGGACGAAGCUUUUUGUGACGGUACCUGCAGAAGAAGCACCGGCUAACUACGUG